rnacentral:rRNA from 1 species
CCUACGGGAGGCUGCAGUGAGGAAUAUUGGUCAAUGGACGAGAGUCUGAACCAGCCAAGUAGCGUGAAGGAUGACUGCCCUAUGGGUUGUAAACUUCUUUUAUAUGGGAAUAAAAUGUUCCACGUGUGGGUUUUUGUAUGUACCAUAUGAAUAAGGAUCGGCUAACUCCGUGCCAGCAGCCGCGGUAAUACGGAGGAUCCGAGCGUUAUCCGGAUUUAUUGGGUUUAAAGGGGGCGUAGGUGGAUUGUUAAGUCAGUUGUGAAAGUUUGCGGCUCAACCGUAAAAUUGCAGUUGAAACUGGCAGUCUUGAGUACAGUAGAGGUGGGCGGAAUGCGUGGUGUAGCGGUGAAAUGCAUAGAUAUCACGAAGAACUCCGAUUGCGAAGGCAGCUCACUGGACUGCAACUGACACUGAGGCUCGAAAGUGUGGGUAUCAAACAGGAUUAGAUACCCGAGUAGUC